rnacentral:rRNA from 1 species
AUGCCGAUGCAGUACUGGUCCAUCAGAGGGGUGCAGGAGGUGUUCGGCGACAAGGUGCGCAUCAAUCGGCUCGACAGCCGCACGCUGGAGCGCGGCCACACCAAGACCUUUGCCUGCUGGGUCUGGGUGUGGGAUAUGGCAUUCAUCCCCAUCAGGCACACCUACUGGAAGCUCCCCCGAGACGUCGGACGUGUGGAAGAGAUGGAGGGCUUUUCGCCGCCGGACAGCAGGGUGGCUCCACCACUAGGAGCAACGCGGUUCGACCUCCUCAUCCAUGUCGACCGCGUCGAAGACUGGUCUCCACGAUCCCCACACUCCUCCCACUCGGCGAAGAGCGGAUUGCCAUCAUCUGGCUCCGACGACGACAACGCGCUACCGCGCACCUACCCAGGGACAUGGACCAUGCACGUGGAGGACGGCCAGCGUGAGGAGCCGCACAGGCGGCAAGCUCGCGCCCCGGUGGUGGACAUGGGCUAUCGGGGCCUGCCUCUCGGCAGCCCCAGGCGCGACCCGACAACGACGAAGCUGGCAGAAGGUCCUGGAAGGACAUGCUGCUGGGGCCCGGAUGUGGUCACCAUGCCAAGGCAGAGGUCACGUCAAGGGAGCGUUGUGACCGCAGCCGAUCCCCUCCAACGCGCCACCGCUCCGGCAGCUCCAAGGGCCAGAGGCACAGGACCGCUCGCCAAGUGA